GAGACUCUGUGCGCGUGCAUAUCAAUAAGCGGAGGAAAAGAAACUAACAAGGAUUCCCUUAGUAACGGCGAGUGAAGCGGGAAGAGCUCAAAUUUGAAAUCUUCAAGGUUCUACCUUGACGAAUUGUAGUUUAUAGAAGUGUUUUCUGUUAGUAGAGUGGCAAAAGUUCUUUGGAAUAGGACAUCAUAGAGGGUGAGAAUCCCGUAUUUGGUCAUUCUUUCUAGCUUUGUGAUACACUUUCAACGAGUCGGAUUGUUUGGGAAUGCAGUCCAAAAUGGGUGGUAAAUUUCAUCUAAAGCUAAAUAUUGGCGAGAGACCGAUAGCGAACAAGUACCGUGAGGGAAAGAUGAAAAGAACUUUGAAAAGAGAGUUAAACAGUACGUGAAAUUGUCAAAAGGGAAGCGUUUGACACCAGUGUUGUUUUUCCGAAAAUCAAUUACGAAUGUUUUAUUUUUGAGAAGUUAUGACUUCAUCGGCUUGCUCCUUUCUUUAUGAAACUUUCUUAAUGCACUUUUCGGUUAACAAGUCAACAUCAAUUUCUUUUGUUGUAAAAGGGUAUGAGGAAGGUGGCUUUCUUUUCGGAGAAAGUGUUUAUAGCCUUGUACCUCUGCAAUCGGAGAGGAUUGAGGUCUGCAGCGUAGAUCCUUCGGGGUUAGAUACAUUUGUGCUAAGUUAUAGCUUUUCAUAGACAACUUGUUGACUAUGUUUAGUCUUGUAGCUUACUCGCUUAUGCUAUUUUACCUACGCUUAGGAUGUUGAGUCGUAGAGCACGCAG
rnacentral:rRNA from 1 species